UACGAAGGGGGCUAGCGUUGUUCGGAAUUACUGGGCGUAAAGCGCGUGUAGGCGGUUGUUCAAGUCAGGUGUGAAAGCCUUGAGCUCAACCAUACAGAAUGCACUUGAUACUGGAUAACUAGAGGACCGGAGAGGAUAGUGGAAUUCCCAGUGUAGUGGUGAAAUACGUAGAGAUUGGGAAGAACACCAGUGGCGAAGGCGGCUAUCUGGACGGUUUCUGACGCUAAGACGCGAAAGCGUGGGGAGUAACAAGAGUAG
rnacentral:rRNA from 1 species